AUCUCAAAAAUAAAUAAACAUUAAAAUAAAUAAAUAAUCAAAAUUGGCAACAGGUUGGAAACUACAUUUAUUGCAACUUAUGGCAAAGCAUUUUAGAUGUCAGAGCAAAUAUGUAUAAGGAUGUAUGUUUGUGUUCAAAAUUAUUUUAAUGGGUAUGCAAGCCAAAUACUUAAAGAACAUUGGGUUAAAAAUAUGGGACACGAGGCUGAACAUAUUCAAUCAGUGCUUCUAAAUCAAAUACUUAAAAUCUGAGCUGUUUAGAUUCAUAGCAAUUGCUGAGCUACUAGUGGUUCUAGUCCUAUAAGUUUCCAUCAUUUAUGUCAUGAUAAAAUAUAGGGAAGGAGACAAAGAAAAAAAACAACACAAAAUGAUAGCUAUUUAUAAGCUACUGAGCAUUGACAGGAGAGUUGAUAAAUUAUGAUUUAUUUUUUUGUCAACAUUUGGAUGUGGAGGACAGACCUCUGCCUAGAAGGACCCAGUCAAAGACUUGAAGCUGAUGAGCACAAGUUGACAUAGAGGUGGUUUUCUUAUCUGAAGGUGGAGAACACCAUGAACAGUUUCUCUUUAUUAGCUAUCCUUUGAUCUGGCUCUUAUAGCAUAAUAAAAUAACUGUAGGAUGUUUUCAAACUUAAAAGGCUUCCACUUGACCUUUGGUAGCCAUAUUGAUCUUCUCAAUUAGAAGAGUAGGACAGUGUUAGUUUUCUAGGCCUGCUAUAACAAAUUAGCACAAAUUGGAUGGCUAAUUUGAUAGAAAUUUGUUUUUUCACACCUCUGGAGGCCAGAAGUCCACAAUCAAGCUGUUGCAGGGCCACCCUUCCUCUGAAGGCUCCAGGGGAGUUUCUGUUUCUUAGCUCUUUCGCUUUUUGGUGAUUCCAUAUAUCCCUUCCUUGUGGCCAUGUCACUCCAUUAUUUCUACCCAUGGUCACAUUGCUUUCUCUCCGUGUCUUCUCCUAUCUCAAAUCUUCUUCCUCCUAUAAGAAAACGUAUCACUGGAUUUAGGGCAUACCCACAUAAUCCAGGAUGAUCUCUUCAGCUCAGGGUCUUAAAUUCUAUCUAUUUAUGUUAUAUGAUAUGAUAUGAUAUUAAUUUAUUAUAUUUACAAAAACUUUUUCCCCUCACCCCAAAUAAGGUAACAUUCUCAGGUCCAGAAAUUAGGACAUGAAUAUAUUUUUGGGGAGGCCAACAUUAAAUCUACUGCAAGCAGCAAAGGUAGGUGUCACUUUAUGCACCUAUGAUAGGUGGCCAUGUCUGGAGGUGAGGUUGGACAACAGAAUCAGAAAGUGGAGUGGAACAGCUUUUAAAAUGGUAGCUACAGAUAGCUUAGAAAAGCCCUUUCAAUAACUCUCUUUUCCCCCCUUCCCAUUAUUCACUCCACCAGAAUACUUGGAAAGCUGAGAACAUUUUAAUGGCAAAAAUAGUAAUAGAAGCCUAGAGUUUAGGUAGUGGUAGGAGAAUUAAAUGAGCUAAGCUUUGGAAAAUUCUGGAUAUGGACCCUUUUGGGGAUAGGUUUUUCUAAAAAUAAGGGAGGAGAAGAACCACUUAUGCUUGAGAACUCUGAGCAAACCUUACCUAUUGGCAUUGUGGGUUGGCAUUGUUAGUGAUCCUCAUGACCUGUUGGGUUUUUUUGUUUGUUUUCACUAUUAGUGUAGUAAAUAAAAAGGGACAAUUUUUCUUAUAGGCCUAAGAGUGGUUUAGCGACUGCACUUUAGCUCAGGGUGGGUGAUUCUCAGAUUUUAGCAGGCAUUAGAUUCACCUGCAGGCCUUGUUAAACUGCUGUAUUGCUAGACUCCACUCCCGAUUUCUGACUCAGCACUUCUAGAGUAGGACGAGGAAUGCAUUUUUAACAGGUUUCUAGGUAGCUCUGCUUCUGCUGGUCCAGGGCCCACGUUUUGAAAACAACUGGUCUAGGCUUUAGGCCUAUUUUGGGCUUCUGCAAGGAAUCCUGGUUGGGUCCAUACAACUGUUUUCACUGGUGACUGGUUUCAACUUUACAGUUUACAUCUCCUAAAACUAGAUCAGUGCUUUUAAAAAUUUAAUGAGUAAAUCGAUCACCUGAAAAUCUUAUUAAAACCCAGAAUCCUGCCUGUGUGCCCUGAGCUUCUGAUUUACUGUGUCUGAGGUGGGCCUGUGUUGGUGGAGGUCAUCGAGAGGAUAUGACCGCUGGUUGACCCCAGAGCUGGCCCAGGCAAUCAGAAGAACCUCACCCCUCCCCUGUCCUUGGAUUGUACUUUCCUCCCACUGUUCGUAUAGCUGAAGCCAUUUCAAGAUGCAUCCUUGAGAGAGCAAUGUGUUACUGAGAUUAUCUGGAUGGUAUAUGUGAGUGAGCCCAAUUAAGGCCUCUAAGUAAACUCUCAAGAUUGUGGCCGGCGGUUUGGAGAUCUGUUUGCCUCUGGCCGGCGCCAGGGACAAGCCUCUUUUGUAAGUUCCUGUGCUCAUUAAAACCGCCAGCUACUAAGCUGGAGGGGCCGGCCUCUUUCUUCUACCUCUCCUUGCCCGCCGUGUACAGGAACUGGCUUCACAUUUCACCUGAGAAAUUCUGGAAUUUCUGACCAACAGCCUGUGGUUCUGCUUUUCUAAUAAACUUCCAGAUGAUACCAAUGCUAUUGGUUUGAAGACCACACUUUCACUGGCAAGGAAAUAGAGGACGUUUAUCUGCCUGACCUUGUUCGUUGUGCUCAGCUCUUACUGGAGCCUGGAACAGAGGACAUCUGAGACUGUGACGUCUCUUUCAGAGGAAACUUUGCUAGCUGAGCCAUGAAUCCAUUCGUGGCGGCUCUUCCUGUAAUUUUCGAUGAGGAACCAUAUCCUAGUGGUGUCACUGAGCCAGGAGAUGGAAAUCCAGUGGGGAUCAGUUCCCCAAGGAAUUUAAAUCUAAAAUUUUGGACAUUUAAAAAUACUACCAAUCAUAGGUAGCAAUAAAUGUUCAGUAAGGUUUACUUUGGCAAAAGUAAUGCUAAACACGUGUAGAAAGUAUGAAUUUCACAGAUUAAAAAAAAACUGUAGAAAUAACUUCUCAAGCCUAUAAUUAUGCCAAUGACAAACUUAAUCUUGUCAAUUCAGAGUAAAAAAUCUAUCAUUUCUGUCUCAUAGCAAUCUCUUUGAGAAAAAAAAAUCUAUGAACUAGAGAGUUUCCUUUUUCUACCUUAUUCCUUUCUCUCCUGGAAUGAGAUAUGUUACAAGGCGGUAGGUUAGAUAAGAGUUAUACCUGUGAUAUAAUCUUUCCCAAGUUGGCUUCAUCUGUGAUGUAAGAAUAACAACAACAAUAACAAUUAAAAUAAUAAAAAUUAUAAUAUUAACUGUUUAUUGAUCAUCUAUUAUGUUUCAAUUGCUAUUAUAAGUUAUGGGUAUUUUUAUUUUCGCUUUAAUGCGGUGAGGUGGAUACUGUGAAUUCCCCAUUUUACUGAAGAAGAAUCCCCACUGAUCAUCAGCCUCUACUUAGAUUGCUUGUCCAUGGAAUGUCCAUGUCUCUCUCAGCUUCCAGGCAACAGGUCCAUACAUGUCUUUCUUUGUCUUUUACAUUUUAGCCCUAAAGACUUUCCACGCUGUUGACCAGCUCUCAGAUACUUCUGCAUCAUCUAAAAGCAUAGGGAAUUUUGGGUGUUAUGCCCACAUCACACUGACCUAUAUGAGACUCUUUGAGGGCAGCUAGCCGUCAUGCUGUGUAAUUGUUUCUCUCCCUGAAGGCACUAUGCCAGCAUCAGGAUAUAUGACUUUCCUUAAUGACAAUUUCUAAUUUUAAUGAGGAGCUUAAUACCUCCUUGUUUCCACAGUGAUGACUCUAACGUUUGAAAUCUAUGCAAAUAAGGGAUUAGUGACUCGAAGAUGGACAUAACCCAAAUAGACCAUCCUCCUCUCUGCCUAACCCUGAUCUGAAUGGAUGUUCUUUGGGAACAUAAGGACUGCACAUUUCUAGGUCAGGACCCAUUUUCCUUUAUUUCUAAAGGCACAGGACUGGAAUGUCCUCAGGAAGGCUCUGCUCUGUCUUUUCUCAGAGUAAUUCUACUUCCUGAAGGAGAAGGAGAAGACAGCGCGGUCAUCAAAGAAUGAUUUGAAUUGGCAAUACAGGGAAGAAAAUAUAAUUCAUUGGAUUAAAAUUUCAGUAAAAAUGUGAAUUAGGAAUGGGUUUUAUAAAGGAGAGACUGUCAGUUACACUAAGAAACUAAUAAGCUGAUUUCCAUCCACUGGGACAAAGGAGAAAGAAAGUAAAAUGAAUCACCAUUUUCCACUAUAACAAUGACAGUUGGAAGACUGUUAUGACUCUUCCGAUGAUAAUAAUUUCCAUUUCGAUAGGCUCUUUUUCCAAGACAUCUAAAGUAUUUUACAAGUGAUUUUUACUAUCCAUCCUCAUGUCUCAAAAAGGAAAGAUACAAAUACUUGCAUCCUCAUUUCAUAGGCAGCAAAUGCAUCUGAAGGAUUCUGAAUAUACUGUGCUUAUUCCAAAGAAAUUUUUAAUAAGGUAUGCUGUGAAAACUGAAGCAUUCAGUCAUAUCUGAGAAUAAAAAAAGGCAGAAAUAUAAUAUUUGGACACAAAAUCCCCUACAGGUUCUUAUUAUUUUCUUAUAAUCCAUAUUUUGAAAAGAAGAAAAUCAAAGGGUAAAAUAUUUUCUGUGUGUAUUGUAGCUUUUGAUUAAUACCAGUUUUAGUCCUUUAACAUUUAGACUAUAUAUUUCUCUGAUUCAGAUGUUGUCCUUUAUUCCCUCAUAUCAUGAUAUUUGUUAUCUUCUUAUUUAAGCCAGCAUCUAGGACGAGAUGAUCAUGUAUGAGAUGCUUUGUAAUGUUACAUUUACUUAGUGAGUAUGCAUAAUCUCAGGGUGUGGAAUAAAGAUCCAUAGAAUCAUUCAACACAAGAAAGGAACUAAAAAAUAUACCCACUAAAAAAAAGGAAACUAUCCUGUAAAUGGUGACAAUUUCCCUGAUUCUUCCUCUUUCUUCUAAUUUAGAAUAUAAUUGUACAGUGGUCUUGUCUUUAUCUUCCAGUUUUUCACUCAUUAAAACAGAAGGGUUUCUGGUAAUUAUGUAUAGCAGGCAGAAUAAUGGCUAUCCAAAGAUGUCCAUAUCCUAACCUCUGUAACUUCUGAAAAUGUUAUGUUACUGGGGAAAGGGGGAAAUAAGGUUGCAGAUGAAACGAGGGUUGCUAGUCAGCUGACCUUCAAAUAGGGAGAAUGUUCUGGGUUAUUGGAUGGGUCCAAUAUAAUCAAAAGGGCUCUUUUAAUACAGAAGAGAAGGCAGAAGAGUCUGUAUCAGCCUAAUGUGAUGUGUAAAAGACUCGGCUGGCCAUUGUUAUCUCUGGCUUGCCCUGAACCAAGAAAUGUGGGCAGCCUCAAGUAGCUGAAAAAGACACAAAAAUGGAUUUCUCCCUAGGGCCUCAGAAAGUAAUGCAGCCCUGCCGACACCUUAAUUUUAGCCCUGUGAGACCCAUUUCAGAUUUCUGCCCUCCAGAAGCAUAAGAGUAUGCUUUUCUGUUGUUUUAGGCAACUAAAUUUGUGGCACUAUGCUACAGACACAAUAUAAAACUCCUAUAGUAUGCAUUACACAGUCAGUCAACAAUUGAAUUAAUGAAUGAACCAACUAGAGUGAAUCAAAUCCUUUCAUUUACUUAUAGUCAAAAAUCUGAAAAUGAGCUGGGAGAACUCGAGUUCAUGAACUACUUUCAAAAGAUAGAAUUAAAAAUCAUGACACUAGCAAUGCCUGUGCACAUCAUUUUAAUCCGAGUUUCAUGCUUUCUGUCUGUGGGGAAGAGCAUGGUGUUCGUAAAGGAAUAAGUAGUUGUCCAUAAGAUAUCCUGAAGGAAAUGUUGAAAGUGCUCUAGUUUUACAAUAGUAGUUAUGCUAACAUAGUGCUUACUCUGUGCGUUGUUCUAUAUAUACAUACGUAUAUAUGUAUAUCUAUGUAUGUAUACGUAUGUAUAUAUAUAUAUGAGCUAGUUUAAUCCUCACAAAAAUCCUCUGAGAUAGUUUUGUUAUCUCCAUUUUAUGGAUGGGUAGGAGGAAUAGAGAGAGGUAAAGUAGAUUGUUCAUGGUCACACAGCUAGGAAGUAGCCAAAUCAGGACUUGAAGUCUUAAUCAUUAAAAUAUACACAAUCCAAAAAAUUACUCUUUCACUUCCCAGUGCCACUUUUAAUACAUUUAAUAUAUUUUAUUGGUCUAUGUGAAAAGCAGCGCUAAGGUAUUCUGGAGUGAGAAAACAUAGAAGGAGGGCCAAGAGAAGGUAAGUGAUGUACUUUGCUGUGGUUCUUGUCUGAGGCACAUGAAAUACUGCAGUGACAAAUGAAACUAGAAGGAUAUUUUGGACCGGUGUUUGGAAGUUUCUGGACUCUAGCGUAAGAAAUAAAAUUUUAUUCAGCCAUCAGUAGAAAAUACUAGUUGUUUUUAGUUGUUGUGGUGGUGGUUGUAGUUUGGUUGGUGUUCUAGUGUUUUUGUUUUUGCUGUUUAAGCACAGAAAUGAAGCGUUCAGAGUUUUCAUGUUAGGAAGGUUAAAUGUAUAUUGGCUCAUGUCAAGGGUGAUGACAGUAGCGGCAAUGAGGCACGGAGUCCAGCAAGAAGAUCACUGUAGUCUCACAAAUGAAGGGUACUGGGGAUCUGAGGAAGUGGACUGACUGCUGGAAUGGAACAGAUGGAAGAAAUGGAAGAAUAUUAGAUAGAUGGAAUUGGCUGUGAGUCUCUCAGAAGGUGGGAGGAACAAGCUUGGAUGGCUUUGAGCAUUUGGGACUGCAGGACAGACUCGUAUUUAGUUUGCAUUUGAAAUAGAGGAUAAUGAAUUUGAUUUGAGGAAAUACCACUGAGACUGAAGGAAUUAUAUGCAUCUGAGGUAUUUAGCCCAGGGAGUAAUAAGUGCCUACCUUGUGCUUGGCUUUCAGAUAUUUUGCAAACUCCUUCCCUAAGACCUCCAUUUUGAAGCUACUAAUCUAAAUUUCACUGAUCACAGUGAUAAUUGUAUCACAUUAAAAAAUCCCAGUGGGGCGCCUGGGUGGCGCAGUCGGUUAAGCGUCCGACUUCAGCCAGGUCACGAUCUCGCGGUCCGUGAGUUCG